rnacentral:rRNA from 1 species
GACGAACGCUGGCGGCGUGCUUAACACAUGCAAGUCGAACGGAAAGGCCCUGCUUUUGUGGGGUGCUCGAGUGGCGAACGGGUGAGUAACACGUGAGUAACCUGCCCUUGACUUUGGGAUAACUUCAGGAAACUGGGGCUAAUACCGGAUAGGAGCUCCUGCUGCAUGGUGGGGGUUGGAAAGUUUCGGCGGUUGGGGAUGGACUCGCGGCUUAUCAGCUUGUUGGUGGGGUAGUGGCUUACCAAGGCUUUGACGGGUAGCCGGCCUGAGAGGGUGACCGGCCACAGGGGGGCUGAGAGAAGGCGCAGACGGUUGAGGGCGGCGGAAGGGGGCAAUAGUGAGCGGGGGGGGGAAGCGGGGAGGAGCAAGGCGGGGUGGGGGAGCGCGGGCGUGGGGUUGUAAACGCGGGUCGCCUGGGACGAGGGGUGAGUGAGGGGAGUGGAUAAAGAAGCACCGACCAACUACGUGCCAGCAGCCGCGGAAGAAGAAGAAGAGCCCACGUCUGAGC